rnacentral:rRNA from 1 species
GGUUUCCGUAGGUGAACCUGCGGAAGGUCAUUA